AUCCAGAGGUAGCACUCCCAACCCGACCGCCUCUCCUCUCCGGGCUCACUGCUGCACAGAACCAGUAGCCAUUUAUGACAACAGUCAAGAAUUACGUGUGAAAAGUUAUAAAAGUCUGAAGGAGUGCUAACUACCAGUAUUGCCAUCUCAGGAUGGUGUGCAAAUAUAUUUCUACCUGACACAUCUCCCUCCUCCACCAGUGGCAAUUACAACACAGAUGGACUCAAGGGAUUACUGACAAUUUCUUUAAUGAUGUGCGAGCGCUCCCAUUGCCCAUUUAGAUUUACUCUGCAACACUGACAGUGACAAAAAGAUGCCCUCUCUGUGUCAUACUGUCAGUGGAUGCCAUGAGCGUCUCUCAAUGCCAUUUCAAAGUCUGCUAGCAGAGAAGUAAGAAGGAAAAGCUUUAGGAAACCAGUUCCAUUCAGGAGAUAAUUCCCUUCCCAGAGGUUAGCAGUCAUGAAUCAGCAAUGAUUUCAGAAGAUUCUCUGAGACUUCCCAAGAAAGCAAAUGAAUGUGAAUAUGGGAACCUCUAUAUAGGAUUUUAUGACUCUAGAAUUCUGUGGUGAUCUAGGUAAACUGCAUUAGUAUGCUUCAAUUGAGUACACGCAGUAGCUUGAACUGACCACUGAUGGCCAGCAUCUGUCUCUUCCCAUCACCUUGGAUCCAGGAAAAAGCUUUGUAUGAGCUGAUCGUUUGCAUCAAACUAGCCACCUUUACUCACAUGAGGGAAGAUAAAAAAUCAUUAGUGACAGAGAACAAGGUAGUUAGGUAGAUUCCAGAGGACUGUGCAAGGAAAAUGAAUCAGUGACACUUUUGGAAGAGAGAUACAAAAUUAAGAUUAGAAAGUCCAGUCCUAUGCGAUGCUGAAGUUAUUGGAUGCAUCCCUAUAAACUGUCCUGCAUCUACAUCUUUUAAUUACUAUUUAUUUGAAAAAGGUAGUUUUCAUCAGUAGGUGACGGUUGGAUAUUUAUAGAAACACAGAUUCACAGAGUCUUUGAGGAUAGAAGACCUCUCUGGAGGUCUUUGUGACCACACAUGUCCAACAUUUUGGCUUUCCUUGGCCACGCUGAGAAAAGAGGAAUUGUCUUGGACCAUAUACAUAAGUUGCUCUGAAAGUAAUGCCUCCUAUUUGUUUCCAUGGAAUCACCGUUUUUCAAAACAUACCACCGUUUUCAACAUCAUUAACACCAUUAGCUAUGCAUUUUCACCAGUGAUGAACAACAGCCUGCACACUGAGCUCAUAGAAAUCUGCACUAGUGGAGACGAAUCACUGUCACUACUACUGAAAUGCACCACCCUCUCUCACUGUGCUCAUAUCCACUGUUUGGUCUCCAUAGAUAUUCAGCAAGCAUUAGUGUAUGUCAGUGGGUGUCUUUUUUUCCAUAUACAGAAAUUCAAAGAUAUAACUUUCCUUUGCUGCCAUCUGUCAUAAGGGAGCAAAAUGUAAUAGAAUAUUGGUGGAAAAGUUAAGCCUAAUGCCAUACUACCAACAUCUUCCUCUGAUGUCAUGGGUCAACAUACUAAAACAGGAGGCAUUACUUUUGGUGCAGCCCUCGUAAAGAAUAUAAUAUCAUUAAUAUAUAAAUAAAAAAACAUCUUAAUUUUUAAUAUUUUUCUCAAAACAUUAAAAAAGAGAGGAACAAAACCAUAAAUUAGUGGGAUAUGUGACCUUGCUUUUACGAAGCAAAUCCAACAGUUUUGUUCAAUGGUUACAACUCUCUGUGAGCU